CUACCGAGAGGAGUUCAACGUGUCUUAAAGACAGUGGUUGCUGUGGCUGCGGUUAGGGAUGUUUUCACAAUCCCAGUUUCUGUUUCUUGAGCACUUACGGUGAAGUAAAGCGUUAAGAGCUUUUUGCGGGCGCUAUCUACUUAAUUUUGUUUUUUCCAAAUACAUUUUUAAAGGAGGAGCUAGCAGGGACUCAAUAUUUGAGCAUAUGUCCAUGUAAAUAUGGGUGAAAAAACGUUCGGCUUUGACCAUUAUUAGACACAGGGUUUGCCAAACCAUUGUGUAAGUAAACUCUAGAAUUAUUUUCCCAAAGCCGUCACUCUUAAGGUUUCCAGAAAUCCCUUUUGUUCUAGGAAUUCAUAAAUUUAUGACGGUCUUUCACUUUAGGGUGCCAUGAAAUCAUGGUCCCUUCAUGUCUGUCCCAAGACCCUGGACCAUCUAUCUCAAACCCAUCUUGAAAAUCUUGGAUAAUCUCCCGUCUCAAGAUCCUUAAUGAGACCUUCAAGGACUCUUUCCAAAUAAGUUCUCUCCUGGGAAUCUUAUUUGCUCUCUGCCUUAGGAAGUGCCUCGCUGUUAACCUGUAUUGUCCCGGUGACACAGCCUCUGCCGGCUUCCAGUUUUUGAUAUUCCAUAUGAGGCAAAGGUGAAGACUAGUGCCGUAUCUCAUCACAGUGGAGCAAGCUCAUCAGCCAACAUCUAGCAAACAAAAACAGGAGGAUCGCGAGCUGGAGGCUGGCCUGGGCUGCAUACAGAGAUAAAACAAAACAAAACAAAACAGAACAGCAGCUUCUCUUACUUGUCUCUCAAUGUGCAGCCACCAUUCAGCCCAAUCAGCUUUUCCUCGAAGACCCCAAGUGACUCCCAUGGCAUUCUUCUCUCCCAGCACCGGUGACCUGUUAUCCUGAUUAGUAUAGGUUUAAAGUCAGUCUCCAUAGUGCACGGGCUGCUUAUGUGCUUCAUGAGCACCUUGGCAACUUUUCAGAUUGGGGAAAGCACAUAGAGGCUGGAGUCAUGUUAUCAGUCAUUUACCAUCAUUUAAAUGGUAUUGCAUCUGGAUUUGUUUGUUUUGUUGUUGUUGUUUUGGUUUGGUUUGGUUUUGCAUGUGGAAUAUCAAAUGGCUUUGGGGAGAAUAGAUACCUUCACCAUAUUAAACCAUCCACUUACAGGAUAGUACAUGUCUA